AAGUCGUAACAAGGUUUCCGUAGGUGAACCUGCGGAAGGAUCAUUACCGAGUAAUUGAUCGCUAUUUAUAGCAUCAAACUCCCACCCUUAUGCUUACUACAAUUUGUUAUCUUUGGCAAAGCGUUUUCCUAAAAGCCACUGGUAGUGAAAAUCUAUGAGUGAGUCUUUGCCAAAGGUUUUUCAACUCUUGAAUUUUUUGCAUGGUUGUCUGAGUUUAAAGCAAAAAAGUAAUUAAAAC
rnacentral:misc_RNA from 1 species